rnacentral:lncRNA from 1 species
UUAGCGGCGGCCUUUUUGCACAAGGCCAAGUCGUCACGCAUCCCCUCGAUGCUCUCUUGGAGGGAUUGGAUGAUGGCCUCCAAUCGAUCCAACCGUUCCUCCCGCAACGCCUCAUUGUCUCUAGACAAAUCGAGUUGCUCGGCGACGUGAUUCUCCAACACUUCCGUAUCGUGCUCGAGCUUCUCGAAUCGUUCGCUAAGCUCCGCUAUGGCGACGUUAUUCUCGAGCCUCUCGAGUCUUUCGCCAUGAUCCGUUAGCACGGCCUCAUUAAUGGUACUCUCCCCACGAGCCUUG